ensembl:lncRNA
GACAGCUGCUCCACCCUCUCUCUUCAGAGCGUUGCAAAUAAAUAUGUUGGGUUUCAAAGCUGCCAAGGCAGACGUUGGACAGUGGGUCAGGGGGCCAAACGCAGAGCAAAAGCAUUCCCUUCCCCUCGUAACCUGUUCUCAAUGAGCUUGGUCACCUCUCCAGGGCACCCAUUCAGCGUGAGCCAUCCAAAGGGCCCCAGGGCCCCAGAUCUCACACACUGCCUACCGAGAGAGUCCUGUGAGCCUCUCUCUCUUUUCUCUCUCUGUGCAUCACUCUGUUUGCCACAGCAGAGUGCCAAAAAUAUCCUCCACUGCGAGAAAUCAAGAGUGUACCAAACAGUUCAAACCAUUCAUGACAGAGUGUGAGUCAGUCUGAUGAAGAUGAAACGACUCCUCAGUCAAUCAGGGUGAAAAGAAAUAUUUAUUCAAAACGUUUCCCUUGACAAUAAAGUCAAAAUGUCAUAAUAGGGGCAACAUACAGGUAAGAUAGAAAUGCUGUUUUGUGUUCUGCUGCUUGAAUGGAGUUGACAGAUCUGCUGUAUGGGACCUUCUGAAUCUUUCGCCACUCUUCUCCUUUUUUUUUUUUUUGCUUGAAUAUAAUGAUCAUCAUCUUGUCAGCUCGCUUCGUUGUGUCGAGCUGUUUUGUAAAACUGUUCACGCUUAUAUUUACAUUUAGAACAGCUUCAUAUUGUUUGUAUUACAUCAUGAAAGUUUGCUAUAGUUAUGUCCAGUUAUGUUUAUUUCUAAACACUGAACUAUAGCUUGAGGCCUUUUUAAUUUGAAAAUUCUAACAUAUUUGGGGCUUGCAGCUGCCUUCGUCCAGCUUCUACAAUCAACUGAAUAUCUUUGCUUUUUAUAGACUUUUGGUUAAACAGAACAAGAAGUUUCAUGAUGUUACUUUUGGAAUAUAAUCAGCCGUUUUAAAGGAAUUUUUUGAGUAUAUGGUUUAUAAAAUAAGAGGAAAAAUUCAGCAGGUUAAUCAAUAAUUGUCAGUAUCAAACUUAAAAAAAUAGAAAAUUUCCCCUUCAAAUAUGUUUCCAUCAAAUUAUUGAGCUCUCAAAGUAGGUUAGACUCUAGCUUUUUAAGUGUCUGUAAUAAAUGCUUAUACAUUAUGAUGAAGGAAAAAUUUAGUGCAGUUUUUUCUUAAAUGUAAUCAUCCCAAGACUAAAUUCCCUGACUGCAAAAACCCAACAUUUAAGUUUGUUUUCUCUACAAGACCUUCCUUCAACAAAGAGAUGGAUCAAAAUCCAGCACAAUCAAUC